rnacentral:misc_RNA from 1 species
GAUGAAGAACGUAGCGAAAUGCGAUAAGUAAUGUGAAUUGCAGAAUUCAGUGAAUCAUCGAAUCUUUGAACGCACAUUGCGCCCGCCAGUAUUCUGGCGGGCAUGCCUGUUCGAGCGUCAUUUCAACCAUCAAGCCCCCGGGCUUGGGUUGGGGACCUGCGGCUGCCGCAGGCCCUGAAAAGCAGUGGCGGGCUCGCUGUCACACCGAGCGUAGUAGCAUACAUCUCGCUCUGGGCGUGCUGCGGGUUCCGGCCGUUAAACCACCUUUUAACCCAAGGUUGACCUCGGAUCAGGUAGGAAGACCCGCUGAACUUAAGCAUAUCAAUAAGCGGAGGA